CCUACGGGAGGCAGCAGUGGGGAAUCUUGCGCAAUGGGCGAAAGCCUGACGCAGCGACGCCGCGUGGAGGAUGAAGGCCUUAGGGUUGUAAACUUCUGUUAAGUGGGAGGAAAUGCCGAUUAAUAAUACGAAUCGGAGCUGACUGUACCAUUAGAGAAAGCACCGGCUAAACUCGUGCCAGCAGCCGCGGUAAUACGAGUGGUGCAAGCGUUAUUCGGAAUCAUUGGGCGUAAAGGGUGUGUAGACGGCAUGUUAAGUCAAUUGUUAAAUUCUCCGGCCUAACCGGAGGCAAAUAAUAGAUACUGGCGUGCUAGAGGGUGGAAGAGAGAAGUGGAAUUCUCGGAGUAGCGGUAAAAUGCGUAGAUCUCGAGAGGAACACCAAUGGCGAAGGCAGCUUCUUGGUCCAUUUCUGACGUUGAAACACGAAAGCGUGGGGAGCAAACAGGAUUAGAUACCCUGGUAGUCCACGCCGUAAACGAUGAUCACUAGACGUUAGUUCUGUUUUUUACGGGUAUUAGUGUCGUAGCUUACGCGUUAAGUGAUCCGCCUGGAUUACGGUCGCAAGAUUAAACUCAAAGGAAUUGACGG
rnacentral:rRNA from 1 species